rnacentral:rRNA from 1 species
GACGACGCUGGCGGCGUGCCUAACACAUGCAAGUCGAGCGGGGCAGGGGCGGAUGGCAACUGAAGCCUCUACCUAGCGGCGGACGGGUGAGUAACGCGUGGGCAACCUGCCUCAAGGAUCGGGAUAACAGCUCGAAAGGGCUGCUAAUACCGGAUGCGCUCACGGCCUCGCAUGGGGCUGUGAGCAAAGGGGAAACCCGCCUUGAGAUGGGCCCGCGUCCCAUCAGCUAGUUGGUGAGGUGAAAGCUCACCAAGGCGACGACGGGUAGCCGGCCUGAGAGGGUGACCGGCCACACUGGGACUGAGACACGGCCCAGACUCCUACGGGGGGCAGCAGUGGGGGAUCUUGCACAAUGGGCGAAAGCCUGAUGCAGCGACGCCGCGUGAGCGAAGAAGGCCUUCGGGUUGUAAAGCUCUGUCUGGAGGGACGAAACAAAUGACGGUACCUCCGGAGGAAGCCACGGCUAACUACGUG